rnacentral:rRNA from 1 species
ACACAUGCAAGUCGAGGGGCAGCAUGAACUUAGCUUGCUAAGUUUGAUGGCGACCGGCGCACGGGUGAGUAACACGUAUCCAACCUGCCGAUGACUCGGGGAUAGCCUUUCGAAAGAAAGAUUAAUACCCGAUGGCAUAGUUCUUCCGCAUGGUAGAACUACUAAAGAAUUUCGGUCAUCGAUGGGGAUGCGUUCCAUUAGGUUGUUGGCGGGGUAACGGCCCACCAAGCCUUCGAUGGAUAGGGGUUCUGAGAGGAAGGUCCCCCACAUUGGAACUGAGACACGGUCCAAACUCCUACGGGAGGCAGCAGCGAGGAAUAUUGGUCAAUGGACGAGAGUCUGAACCAGCCAAGUAGCGUGAAGGAUGACUGCCCUAUGGGUUGUAAACUUCUUUUAUACGGGAAUAAAGUGAGGCACGUGUGCCUUUUUGUAUGUACCGUAUGAAUAAGGAUCGGCUAACUCCGUGCCAGCAGCCGCGGUAAUACGGAGGAUCCGAGCGUUAUCCGGAUUUAUUGGGUUUAAAGGGAGCGUAGGCGGACGCUUAAGUCAGUUGUGAAAGUUUGCGGCCCAACCGUAAAAUUGCAGUUGAUACUGGGUGUCUUGAGUACAGUAGAGGCAGGCGGAAUUCGUGGUGUAGCGGUGAAAUGCUUAGAUAUCACGAAGAACUCCGAUUGCGAAGGCAGCCUGCUGGACUGUAACUGACGCUGAUGCUCGAAAGUGUGGGUAUCAAACAGGAUUAGAUACCCUGGUAGUCCACACAGUAAACGAUGAAUACUCGCUGUUUGCGAUAUACAGUAAGCGGCCAAGCGAAAGCGUUAAGUAUUCCACCUGGGG